AACGAACGCUGGCGGCAUGCCUAACACAUGCAAGUCGAACGAGACCUUCGGGUCUAGUGGCGCACGGGUGCGUAACGCGUGGGAACCUGCCCUUAGGUUCGGAAUAACUCGGAGAAAUUUGAGCUAAUACCGGAUAAUGUCUUCGGACCAAAGAUUUAUCGCCUUUGGAUGGGCCCGCGUAGGAUUAGCUUGUUGGUGGGGUAAUGGCCUACCAAGGCGACGAUCCUUAGCUGGUCUGAGAGGAUGAUCAGCCACACUGGGACUGAGACACGGCCCAGACUCCUACGGGAGGCAGCAGUGGGGAAUAUUGGACAAUGGGCGAAAGCCUGAUCCAGCAAUGCCGCGUGAGUGGUGAAGGCCUUAGGGUUGUAAAGCUCUUUUACCAGGGAUGAUAAUGACAGUACCUGGAGAAUAAGCGCCGGCUAACUCCGUG
rnacentral:rRNA from 1 species